GAUGAACGCUGGCGGCGUGCCUAAUACAUGCAAGUAGAACGCUGAAGGAAGGAGCUUGCUCUUUCCGGAUGAGUUGCGAACGGGUGAGUAACGCGUAGGUAACCUGCCUGGUAGCGGGGGAUAACUAUUGGAAACGAUAGCUAAUACCGCAUAACAGUAGAUGUUGCAUGAUAUCUACUUAAAAGGUGCAAUUGCACCACUACCAGAUGGACCUGCGUUGUAUUAGCUAGUUGGUGAGGUAACGGCUCACCAAGGCGACGAUACAUAGCCGACCUGAGAGGGUGAUCGGCCACACUGGGACUGAGACACGGCCCAGACUCCUACGGGAGGCAGCAGUAGGGAAUCUUCGGCAAUAGACGGAAGUCUGACCGAGCAACGCCGCGUGAGUGAAGAAGGUUUUCGGAUCGUAAAGCUCUGUUGUAAGAGAAGAACGGGUGUGAGAGUGGAAAGUUCACACUGUGACGGUAUCUUACCAGAAAGGGACGGCUAACUACGUG
rnacentral:rRNA from 1 species